UCGUGGAGGUCCGAACCCACGAGCGUUGAAAAGCUCGGGGAUGACUUGUGGGUAGCGGUGAAAUUCCAAUCGAGCCCGGAGAUAGCUGGUUCUCCCCGAAAUAGCUUUAGGGCUAGCCUCAAGGUGAGAGAUACGGAGGUAGAGCACUGAAUGUCCUAGGGGGUAUUGCACCUACCGAAGACUAUCAAACUCCGAAUGCCGUCAUCUUAUACUUGGGAGUCAGACUGUGGGUGAUAAGAUUCAUAGUCGAAAGGGCAACAGCCCAGAUCGUCAGCUAAGGUCCCUAAAUGUAAGUUAAGUGGUAAAGGAUGUGGGAUUGCACAGACAACCAGGAUGUUGGCUUAGAAGCAGCCACUCAUUCAAAGAGUGCGUAAUAGCUCACUGGUCGAGUGAUCCUGCGCCGAAGAUUUCCGGGGCUAAAACUUACUACCGAAGCUACGGCAUCAGUAAUGAUGGGUAGGGGAGCUUCCCAUACGGGUUGAAGCAUGACCGUAAGGACAUGUGGACAGGAUGGGAGUGAGAAUGUUGGCAUGAGUAGCGAGAUGUGGGUGAGAAUCCCACAGGCCGUAAACCCAAGGUUUCCAGGGGAAGGUUCGUCCGCCCUGGGUUAGUCGGGACCUAAGCUGAGGCCGAAAGGC
rnacentral:rRNA from 1 species